UUCCUAAAUUAAUUAUUACCUAAAAUAAAUUAAUCGCCAACAAUAAAAUUUUAUCUAUAUAUAUAUAUAUAUAUAUAUAUCUAUUAUUAAAACAAAAGUAAAAAUAUAGGUUUACCCUAAAAUUUAUAAAUUAUUUACAUAUCAAUACCACUGAAGUAAUAACUACUCUCUUUUCAUUAAGACACGUCAUCAUCACCUGUGAAACCACAGCUUGACACUUCAGUUUAUAUUGUUUCUGCUUCUUCUAAAUAGGGCGUUUAAACUAUGGACCCAAACACAUCUUCGGCUCAUUGAGCGCUCCUUCAUAUGUCUGAGAUGUCACACAUAAAUGGGCCAUACUGUGUCAUUACAUGAACCUAACCCAAAAUCUAAUUUAAUUUAAAUCUUUUAUGUUAGGCCCAAUCUUGAAAAGCCAGAUUUAGUACAUAGUUGUCGUCUCCAUAACCCUAAAUUUGGAUCUCUCUGACUCUGAAGAUGAAAGAACAUUGAAACGCCUCCGAUUCACAUAAACAGUUCGUCAUUAAUCUUCUCAUUUGGUCUCAUUUAACGCGAUCAUCCACUACCUCUCAUUAAUUUCCCACCACCGCCAUCUUUACCUCCUUCGCAAUCUCUCACCUAUAAAAAGCAUCUCCUGCUCCAUGGUCAUUACAUAUUCAUUACGCUAUUCUUCUCUACCCACAGACACUAAUCUUUUAAACCAUAGUUACCUCCCAGAUAUUGCUUUUCGAUUGGAAGCCCAGAAGUUGUAGUUACACAUUUCAGCUCACGGUUACUGAGUUCAAUUUCUUUUUUUCACCAUAAAUCAUUUAGUGUUUCCUGGAUCUUUGAUCGCAACCAGCCACUACUUGGACUGCAUGGUGGAGACAACCAUCCUGGAGAUGAUAUGGCCUGGAGAAAAUUGUGUUUCAUGCAAGUACUAUUUUAGUGACUUCUCCUCAAUCAACAAGCACCCCUCGAAGAUAAUAAUGAGGUGUAUGGACCUGGAGAUGCUGUGCAACCAACUAGAAGCACAUACGACAUGGAAUCCAAGACUGAGAUUAUUGAUGAUCUGCAGCGCUAAAGCACUUUGGAACCCAUCCAAGAAGGCCCAUAAUUCUUAGUUUCCUGAAUGGUUCACUUUACAGGAAUGUAUCUAUCGUUUCCACCUAUGCUUUAUCUUAUUUCGCUCAUUUUAUGUUUUCCAAAUAAGGGUUAGGACUUAAAACACUUCAAUUCUACCAUCCAGUUUUAACAUUAGUCUCUUUUUUUGGUUAUGUUACUUAGCUAACCUGCAGUUUUAAAUAUUACAUCUUAUUACUUUCCAGAAACU